CAUUAGUUUAUGGAGGCAUCUUUGGUUUCCUCAGCAACUGGGCUGCAGGACAAGCAAAUGAGUAGCCUGGAGGGCACCAAGUGCUGAGGCCAGCUCUCCUCCUAGACCCAGCGGCUCCACUCUGCCCAAGCCUGGCACUAGGGGACAGGAAGAGGGUUGGGGAGGAAGGACAGCUGGAAAGAAAGCCUCUCUCAGCCAGGAA